GGGUUGUGAGGUUAAGCGACUAAGCGUACACGGUGGAUGCCCUGGCAGUCAGAGGCGAUGAAGGACGUGCUAAUCUGCGAAAAGCGUCGGUAAGGUGAUAUGAACCGUUACAGCCGGCGAUGUCCGAAUGGGGAAACCCAGUGCAAUUCGUUGCACUAUCGUUAACUGAAUACAUAGGUUAACGAGGCGAACCGGGGGAACUGAAACAUCUAAGUACCCCGAGGAAAAGAAAUCAACCGAGAUUCCCCCAGUAGCGGCGAGCGAACGGGGAGCAGCCCAGAGUCUGAAUCAGCUUGUGUGUUAGUGGAACGGUCUGGAAAGUCCGACGGUACAGGGUGAUAGUCCCGUACACCAAAAUGCACAGGCUGUGAACUCGAAGAGUAGGGCGGGACACGUGGUAUCCUGUCUGAAUAUGGGGGGACCAUCCUCCAAGGCUAAAUACUCCUGACUGACCGAUAGUGAACCAGUACCGUGAGGGAAAGGCGAAAAGAACCCCGGCGAGGGGAGUGAAAAAGAACCUGAAACCGUGUACGUACAAGCAGUGGGAGCACCUUCGGGUGUGACUGCGUACCUUUUGUAUAAUGGGUCAGCGACUUAUAUUCUGUAGCAAGGUUAACCGUAUAGGGGAGCCGCAGGGAAACCGAGUCUUAACUGGGCGUUAAGUUGCAGGGUAUAGACCCGAAACCCGGUGAUCUAGCCAUGGGCAGGUUGAAGGUUGGGUAACACUAACUGGAGGACCGAACCGACUAAUGUUGAAAAAUUAGCGGAUGACUUGUGGCUGGGGGUGAAAGGCCAAUCAAACCGGGAGAUAGCUGGUUCUCCCCGAAAGCUAUUUAGGUAGCGCCUCGUGAACUCAUCUUCGGGGGUAGAGCACUGUUUCGGCUAGGGGGUCAUCCCGACUUACCAACCCGAUGCAAACUACGAAUACCGAAGAAUGUUAUCACGGGAGACACACGGCGGGUGCUAACGUCCGUCGUGAAGAGGGAAACAACCCAGACCGCCAGCUAAGGUCCCAAAGUCAUGGUUAAGUGGGAAACGAUGUGGGAAGGCACAGACAGCCAGGAUGUUGGCUUAGAAGCAGCCAUCAUUUAAAGAAAGCGUAAUAGCUCACUGGUCGAGUCGGCCUGCGCGGAAGAUGUAACGGGGCUAAACCAUGCACCGAAGCUGCGGCAGCGACACUAUGUGUUGUUGGGUAGGGGAGCGUUCUGUAAGCCUGCGAAGGUGACCUGUGAGGGUUGCUGGAGGUAUCAGAAGUGCGAAUGCUGACAUAAGUAACGAUAAAGCGGGUGAAAAGCCCGCUCGCCGGAAGACCAAGGGUUCCUGUCCAACGUUAAUCGGGGCAGGGUGAGUCGACCCCUAAGGCGAGGCCGAAAGGCGUAGUCGAUGGGAAACAGGUUAAUAUUCCUGUACUUGGUGUUACUGCGAAGGGGGGACGGAGAAGGCUAUGUUAGCCGGGCGACGGUUGUCCCGGUUUAAGCAUGUAGGCUGGUUGUCCAGGCAAAUCCGGAUAAUCAAGGCUGAGGUGUGAUGACGAGGCACUACGGUGCUGAAGUAACAAAUGCCCUGCUUCCAGGAAAAGCCUCUAAGCAUCAGGUAACAUCAAAUCGUACCCCAAACCGACACAGGUGGUCAGGUAGAGAAUACCAAGGCGCUUGAGAGAACUCGGGUGAAGGAACUAGGCAAAAUGGUGCCGUAACUUCGGGAGAAGGCACGCUGGUGUGUAGGUGAAGUCCCUGCGGAUGGAGCUGAGACCAGUCGAAGAUACCAGCUGGCUGCAACUGUUUAUUAAAAACACAGCACUGUGCAAACACGAAAGUGGACGUAUACGGUGUGACGCCUGCCCGGUGCCGGAAGGUUAAUUGAUGGGGUUAUCCGUAAGGAGAAGCUCUUGAUCGAAGCCCCGGUAAACGGCGGCCGUAACUAUAACGGUCCUAAGGUAGCGAAAUUCCUUGUCGGGUAAGUUCCGACCUGCACGAAUGGCGUAAUGAUGGCCAGGCUGUCUCCACCCGAGACUCAGUGAAAUUGAACUCGCUGUGAAGAUGCAGUGUACCCGCGGCAAGACGGAAAGACCCCGUGAACCUUUACUAUAGCUUGACACUGAACAUUGAGCCUUGAUGUGUAGGAUAGGUGGGAGGCUUUGAAGCGUGGACGCCAGUCUGCGUGGAGCCAACCUUGAAAUACCACCCUUUAAUGUUUGAUGUUCUAACGUUGGCCCCUUACCGGGGUUGCGGACAGUGUCUGGUGGGUAGUUUGACUGGGGCGGUCUCCUCCCAAAGCGUAACGGAGGAGCACGAAGGUUAGCUAAUCCUGGUCGGACAUCAGGAGGUUAGUGCAAUGGCAUAAGCUAGCUUGACUGCGAGCGUGACGGCGCGAGCAGGUGCGAAAGCAGGUCAUAGUGAUCCGGUGGUUCUGAAUGGAAGGGCCAUCGCUCAACGGAUAAAAGGUACUCCGGGGAUAACAGGCUGAUACCGCCCAAGAGUUCAUAUCGACGGCGGUGUUUGGCACCUCGAUGUCGGCUCAUCACAUCCUGGGGCUGAAGUAGGUCCCAAGGGUAUGGCUGUUCGCCAUUUAAAGUGGUACGCGAGCUGGGUUUAGAACGUCGUGAGACAGUUCGGUCCCUAUCUGCCGUGGGCGCUGGAGAAUUGAGGGGGGCUGCUCCUAGUACGAGAGGACCGGAGUGGACGCAUCACUGGUGUUCGGGUUGUCAUGCCAAUGGCACUGCCCGGUAGCUAAAUGCGGAAGAGAUAAGUGCUGAAAGCAUCUAAGCACGAAACUUGCCCCGAGAUGAGUUCUCCCUGAGACUUUAAGUCUCCUGAAGGAACGUUAAAGACGAUGACGUUGAUAGGCCGGGUGUGUAAGCGCAGCGAUGCGUUGAGCUAACCGGUACUAAUGAACCGUGAGGCUUAACCUUACAACGCCGAAG
rnacentral:rRNA from 1 species